GAUGAACGCUAGCUACAGGCUUAACACAUGCAAGUCGAGGGGCAGCGCGCUGGUGCAGCAAUGCAUUGGUGGCGGCGACCGGCGGAUGGGUGAGUAACGCGUAUCCAACCUGCCCCCGGCCCGGGCACAGCCCAUGGAAACGUGGAUUAACGCCCGAUGCGCCUAAGAGCCGCAUGGCUUUUAGGUGAAACAGGCAGGGGAUGGGGAUGCGUCCCAUUAGGCAGCAGGCGGGGUAACGGCCCACCUGGCCGACGAUGGGUAGGGGUUCUGAGAGGAAGGUCCCCCACAUUGGGACUGAGACACGGCCCAAACUCCUACGGGAGGCAGCAGUGAGGAAUAUUGGUCAAUGGGCGUGAGCCUGAACCAGCCAAGUAGCGUGGAGGAAGGAUGCCCUACGGGUUGUAAACUCCUUUAGUGCGGGAAUAACGUGCGCCACGUGUGGUGCAGUGCAGGUACCGCAAGAAUAAGGGCCGGCUAAUUCCGUGCCAGCAGCCGCGGUAAUACGGAAGGCCCGAGCGUUAUCCGGAUUUAUUGGGUUUAAAGGGAGCGCAGGCGGGAGCGUAAGUCAGCUGUUAAAAUGCGGCGCCCAACGCCGUAGUGCAGUUGAAACUGCGUUUCUUGAGUCCGCAAGAGGCAGGCGGAAUUUGUGGUGUAGCGGUGAAAUGCAUAGAUAUCACGAAGAACUCCGAUUGCGAAGGCAGCAUACCAGUGCGCCACUGACGCUAAAGCUCGAAAGCGCGGGUAUCGAACAGGAUUAGAUACCCUGGUAGUCCGCGCGGUAAACGAUGGAUGCCCGCUGUGCGGCCUUUUAUGGUUGCGCGGCCAAGCGAAAGCGUUAAGCAUCCCACCUGGGGAGUACGCCGGCAACGGUGAAACUCAAAGGAAUUGACGGGGGCCCGCACAAGCGGAGGAACAUGUGGUUUAAUUCGAUGAUACGCGAGGAACCUUACCCGGGCUUGAAUUGCAGCUGCAUGGGGCAGAGAUGCCCUUUCCCUUCGGGGCUGCUGUGAAGGUGCUGCAUGGUUGUCGUCAGCUCGUGCCGUGAGGUGUCGGCUUAAGUGCCAUAACGAGCGCAACCCCCCUCCCCGGUUGCCAUCGGGCAAUGCCGGGAACUCUGGAGACACUGCCAUCGCAAGAUGUGAGGAAGGCGGGGACGACGUCAAAUCAGCACGGCCCUUACGUCCGGGGCUACACACGUGUUACAAUGGGGGGCACAGCGAGUUGGGCGCCGGCGACGGUGUCCGGAUCAAGAAAUCCCCUCCCAGUUCGGACUGGAGCCUGCAACCCGGCUCCACGAAGCUGGAUUCGCUAGUAAUCGCGCAUCAGCCAUGGCGCGGUGAAUACGUUCCCGGGCCU
rnacentral:rRNA from 1 species